AACCCUUUAUUACUAUUAAGUAAUUUUAUAAUUAUAUAAAAGCUUUUAUGCUAAAACUAGUAACAAGAAAUUGAAUUUCUCCAAAAUUUAAGCAUAAACCAAAAUGGACAAACCAUUGGUAAUUAACGUCAAUAAAAGCAUUAUAGCAACCUACCUAGAAAAACCUAUAAUUUUUUCACGUUACCCUUACACAAGCAAAUUCCUGGAAAGAUUAAAAGAGAGGGAAGGAACUCGGCAAAUUUUAACCCCGCCUGUUUACCAAAAACAUCGCCUCUUGACAAAAUAUAAGAGGUCCAGCCUGCCCAGUGAUAUACUUAAACGGCCGCGGUACCCUGACCGUGCAAAGGUAGCAUAAUCAUUUGUUCUUUAAAUGAGGACUUGUAUCAACGGCAUUACGAGGGUUAUACUGUCUCCCCUUUCUAAUCAGUGAAACUGACCUCCCCGUGAAGAGGCGGGGAUAAAAACACAAGACGAGAAGACCCCAUGGAGCUUUAAACCCAAUAACAACUCUCUCUAAGUAACCUUUAAAGACACAGACGCACUGUUUAUUGGUUUUAGGUUGGGGUGACCACGGAGUAUAAAUUAACCUCCCUGACGAAUAGAUAUCAUCUUUAUCCAAGAGCCACUGCUCGAAGAAUCAAAAAUUUGACAUUACAUGAUCCGGCAACCGAUCAACGAACCAAGUUACCCUGGGGAUAACAGCGCAAUCCAUUUCAAGAGCCCCUAUCGACAAAUGGGUUUACGACCUCGAUGUUGGAUCAGGGUAUCCCAGU
rnacentral:rRNA from 1 species